UACAGAGGGUGCAAGCGUUAAUCGGAAUUACUGGGCGUAAAGCGUGCGCAGGCGGCGCGUUAAGACAGGUGUGAAAGCCCCGAGCUUAACUUGGGAAUUGCGCUUGUGACUGGCGUGCUGGAGUGUGGCAGAGGGAGGUGGAAUUCCACGUGUAGCAGUGAAAUGCGUAGAGAUGUGGAGGAACACCGAUGGCGAAGGCAGCCUCCUGGGCCAGCACUGACGCUCAUGCACGAAAGCGUGGGGAGCAAACAGG
rnacentral:rRNA from 1 species